UUGGUUUAUGGUCCUUGGUCUAGGAAUUAGACACAGGAGCUUCUUAUUGGCCCAGAUUCCCUGUCAGGGGAUCUACUGUCCUCCCAAAGCUUUGCUGAGUGAGUAAGGCCCAUGUGACCCUGCUUCCCUUGUCACCACUGAUUGGGCCAGAUGUUGACAUGGGAGCUAGGAGUAUCCUGACUAUGGGCUGGCCAAAGAACUAUUAAUGGCUUAUGUGGAUUGAAACAAAAUGUUCUUCUCAGUCAUUAAGAUUCUCUUUUUGGGGGAUAUGAACCAGGGACCAGAAGGAUGCUGUAGGCUGAUGCUGGGACACGUGUGCUGAAAGGCCAUGUAGAGAUGAGGUGAGGGGAGUGCUUUUGGGACUGUGCUUGCUAAGUGUAUAAGGAACUGGGAUUCAGAGAAGCCAGUCUGGAGGGAGAGGGGAUCGGAAGGGCCCAGAGAAGAGCAGAGAAAUCAUGCAUGAGUAAAAAGAGCUGGAGAGCAAAUCCCUGGUUCCUGUCUUUCUGGAGGCCUGAUUCAAUGCUUCCUGGUUUCCCUCAGGGCCUCUGUGUACCCUUGCAAUAACCUCAACCUUUCAUUUGAGCUCGUUUGAGUGGUUUCUGAUCCUUGCAAUCAAAAGAGUUUGGGACAAAGAUACUCCAGAUCAAAGAGCUUUCACACAGUAGGGAUUGAAGCUGAGCUUGAGAGCUGACAGACAAGAAGUCCUCCUGCCCAUUCAUUUUCAAUAAAUGUCCACGCUGGGUGGUCAUUGGAGAGUUUGCCGCUGCUGACCAGCUGGCCGUCAGUCCUGGAGCACCGAGAGGAGUGGAGGAUGCACAAGGACUGCAGUGGAGACGCUGCUGUCCCCCUCCCCUGAGCCCACUGGGACCUCUGGCUUUGCUGGCUGCGUGUGGUCCUGCCACACACUGACUGGCUCCCACUCCC
rnacentral:lncRNA from 1 species